AGAGUUUGAUCAUGGCUCAGGACGAACGCUGGCGGUGUGCUUUACACAUGCAAGUCGAGCGAGAAGCCCGGUUUUCAAGCCUUCGGGCAAGAAGACCGGAUGGAAAGCGGCAAACGGGUGAGUAACACGUAGGUAAUAUGCCUUUCAGAAGAGGAUAACAUUGGGAAACCGGUGCUAAUACUCUAUGUUGUCAUUGAGCGUAUGCUUUAAUGAUAAAAGGACUUGAUCCACUGAUAGAUUAGCCUGCGGACCAUUAGCUUGUUGGUAAGGUAAUAGCUUACCAAGGCCAUGAUGGAUAGCCGACCUGAAAGGGUGAUCGGCCACACUGGGACUGAGACACGGCCCAGACUCCCACGGGAGGCAGCAGUGGGGAAUCUUGCGCAAUGGGGGAAACUCUGACGCAGCAACACCGCGUGAAGGACGAAGUCCCUAGGGAUGUAAACUUCUUUCAGGAGGGAAGAAAUGCCCGCUUAGGCGGGAGCUGACGGUACCUCCACAAGAAGCACCGGCUAACUCCGUGCCAGCAGCCGCGGUAAUACGGAGGGUGCAAGCGUUGUCCGGAAUAACUAGGCGUAAAGGGUACGUAGGCGUUCUGGCAAGUCGGUUGUGAAAGUCUUCUGCUUAACGGAAGAAUGCCAGUCGAAACUGUUAGAAUUGAGUACAGAAGAGGAGAACGGAAUUCCUGGAGGAGCGGUGAAAUGCGUAGAUUUCAGGGAGAACACCGAUGGCGAAGGCAGUUCUCUGGUCUGUAACUGACGCUGAGGUACGAGAGCGUGGGUAGCGAACGGGAUUAGAUACCCCGGUAGUGCACGCUGUAAACGAUGGACACUAGAUGUCGGGCUUAAGCUCGAUAUUGCAGCUAACGCGUUAAGUGUCUCGCCUGGGGAGUACGGCCGCAAGGCUAAAACUCAAAGGAAUUGACGGGGGCCUACACAAGCGGUGGAGCAUGUGGUUUAAUUCGAUGCAACGCGAAGAACCUUACCUGGACUUGACAUUUCAAUGCCCGCUAUGGAAACAUAGUUUUUCCAUUUAUUUGGAACAUUGAAACAGGUGCUGCAUGGCUGUCGUCAGCUCGUGUUGUGAGAUGUUGGGUUAAGUCCCGCAACGAGCGCAACCCUUACCCUUAGUUGCCAGCGGAUAAUGCCGGGGACUCUAGGGGAACUGCCCAGAACAACUGGGAGGAAGGUGAGGACGACGUCAAGUCAUCAUGGCCCUUAUGUCCAGGGCUACACACGUGCUACAAUGGCCGGUACAAAGGGCAGCGAACUCGCGAGAGUAAGCGAAUCCCAUAAAACCGGUCUCAGUUCGGAUUGCAGGCUGCAAUUCGCCUGCAUGAAGGUGGAAUCGCUAGUAAUCGUGGGUCAGCAAUACCACGGUGAAUUAGUUCCUAGGCCUUGUACACACCGCCCGUCACACCACGAAAGUUGGUUAUACCAGAAGUCACUGGAUUAACCCUUCUUCGGAAGGGAUAUAGGUGCCGAAGGUAUGGCUAGUAAUUGGGGUGAAGUCGUAACAAGGUAACCGUA
rnacentral:rRNA from 1 species